rnacentral:tRNA from 1 species
UGCCCCGUGGCUGAGUUGGUUACAGCGUCCGACUGUUACGCACACACAUCGGAAGGUCGUGAGUUCGAGCCUCACCGGGGCAG